GAAACCAAGAUCGUCAGAGGAAGGGAUAGCGAAAUCGUGGCUCUACGAACAGAAACGUAAUAUCAAGGCGUAUAUAGGGGAUGAGGAGGCACACAACUCUAAAGUCCAAAUAGGUAGUCGUAACCUAUAUGCGUAAAUCACGAGAGUAAACGAGGAAAGAUGUACGA
rfam:Streptococcus agalactiae LMG 14747 ctg7180000010145, whole genome shotgun sequence.